GGCAGGGUUGCAUAGUGGUUGGAGUGUUGGACUAUGACUCUGGAGACCAGGGCUGGAGUCCCAGCUCGGCCA